UACAGAGGGUGCAAGCGUUUGUUCGGAAUUAUUGGGCGUAAAGCGCGUGUAGGCGGCUUGUUAAGUCGGGUGUGAAAGCCCUCAGCUCAACUGAGGAAGGGCGCCCGAAACUGGCGAGCUUGAGUGUCGGAGAGGAUGGCGGAAUACCCCAAGUAGAGGUGAAAUUCGUAGAUAUGGGGUGGAACACCGGUGGCGAAGGCGGCCAUCUGGACGACAACUGACGCUGAGACGCGAAAGCGUGGGUAGCAAACAGG
rnacentral:rRNA from 1 species